rnacentral:rRNA from 1 species
UACGUAGGGCGCAAGCGUUGUCCGGAAUUAUUGGGCGUAAAGAGCUCGUAGGUGGUUUGUUACGUCUGCUGUGAAAACCUAGGGCUUAACCCUGGGCCUGCAGUGGAUACGGGCAGACUAGAGGUAGGUAGGGGAGAAUGGAAUUCCCGGUGUAGCGGUGAAAUGCGCAGAUAUCAGGAAGAACACCCGUGGCUAAGGCGGCUCUCUAGUACGGUACUGACGCUGAGACGCGAAAGCGUGGGGAGCGAACAGG